rnacentral:lncRNA from 1 species
AAACCAUAAAAUCCCCCAAUAAUUACCCUUUCGUUAUCUUCCUCUUCCUCCAACCAACUAAAAUGACCUCAAUCUUAUAACUCAUCCCCCCACCACCUACGUCAGAAUGUACAACAACCAAUCGCCAACAUAGCCACUUCCAAACUUCAACUUCAUCACUGGCGUAUCAUAAUACACUACAACAAAAGGUCCAUUACCAACAAAAUGAUUUUCUCUCCUCUCCAAACGACCUUAUUCAGUGUUAACAACUUGCCCGACAAACAAUAUGUCGUCACCUGAUCGUAAGCGACAAACUUAUGUCGUUGAAAGUGUCCUCUGACAAAAAUUUUAUUUCGCCGUUUAAUAAAACUUUCUAGCAAUAAAGAUCAUGUCCUUGUCGAAUAUAAUAGUUUAGCGGUAAAAUAUUUCAUAACCCACAUAAUAUAAUUUCCUCGCCUUAGGUCACGUUUCGUCACUAAAUAAUUUAAAAUUUUAUUAAUUAUUUUUUUUGUAAAAUAAUAGGUGACAAAAAUUUCGUCACUAAAGGCAGUUUGCAGAAGCAAAAGACGACGAAAUAUUUCCUCGCUAAAGAUCUUCUCACGCCAUAAAUGCCUAGAAUUCGCCAUGGGCCUUACUCUCGUGAUCUGAUUAGUUCAGCUUUUAAGCUCCUAUGCAUAGAUAGACUUGGGGAAAAGAUCAAAUUGAUUUCGUAACCAUAGCCACGUAUUUUUGUGAAAUACUAUUUAGAAAAAUGAAUGAUAAGUGUAAGUUUGAAUGUUGACCGUCCUAUUUUUUUAGACAAUUCUAAUGAAAUUAUAUGGCUAUAAUUAUUAAGUCAACUUAAUUUUUGCUUUUUUGUAUGGAUGAUCUAUGUUCAUAGAUUUAAAAAAUGAACUCAUUAUAUUAUUGAAGAUGGACUCUGGUGAGUCCCAUGAAACCGAAACAUGUGGUAUGAUGCAAUCCACAUACAAGUCAUUUAUUUUCCGUUUAUAUUUAUAUUAAUUUUUAAAUUUUUGGGUGUAUUUUUUAAUUUAGGGAUGGGCAUUCUAGGAGUCGAGCUCGCACUACAUACUUAGAGGCUUUUGGUCUGCCCAAGUCAGGACUAGCUGGAUAUGGCCAAAUAUAGAAUUGCCAACUCUAGUCCUAAAAACUUUUAUAUUCCCAAGCCCACCCAUUAAAUUCACUUGUUCAAACUCUUAAAUGUUAAAUAUAUUUAACCAUUUAUAUUAUAUUAAUUCUAAUUUUCUUUUUAAACUUAAGUAUAUCUUCGUAUUUUGUACUACUUUUAGGAAAACCUAAAGAACCAAAUGCUUCAUUGAAAUUUUGCUAUUAUCUCUGUACAAACCACAUAAUUCCCCUUUCACUUAAUAAAAGUAUGGUUUUAAUUAAAAUAAAAUUAUUUUUUAUAUUUAAAAUAAAUUCCCCUUUCAUAACACGAUUUUACAAUUAGUAUAUUUUUUAUAUGAAAUGAUAUGAUAAAUUUGUACCUAAUUAUUUUAAAUUAAAAAAUCCUUUAAAGAGAGUAUUAUUUUAAUUUCUGAUAUGAGGCAAUCAUAGAAAAUAUGAAGAAAAAAAAAAAGUGUGUUAAACAAACACCCAUAUCAUUGUAAAACAAACAAGUACAUAUGAGAUCGCCAAGAUAGUAUCCGACUUAGUCCGAUUGGAUUUGUUUAUCCAACUGAAAUCCGACUGGAUUUCUAAUCCGUCAAAUUCAAUCUCCAAAACAAACAUGUCCCUCGUUGAAUUCGCACUACAUACUUAGAGGCUUUUGGUCUGCCCAAGUCAGGACUAGCUGGAUAUGGCCAAAUAUAGAAUUGCCAACUCUAGUCCUAAAAACUUUUAUAUUCCAAGCACACCCAUUAAAUUCACUUAUUCAAACUUUUAAAUGUUAAAUAUAUUUAACCAUUUACAUUAUAUUAAUUCUAAUUUUCUCUUUAAACUUGAGUAUAUCUUCGUAUUUUGUACUACUUUUAGGAAAACCUAAAGAACCAAAUGCUUCAUUGAAAUUUUGCUAUUAUCUUGUUACAAAACACAUAAUUCCCCUUACUUAAAUAAAACGUGUAUGGUUUUUAAUUAAAUAAAAAUUAUUUUUUAUAUUUAAAAUAAAUUCCCUUUAUCAACACGGAUUUUACAAUUAGUAUAUUUUGUAUAUGAAAUGAUAGAUAAUGGUUACCUAUUAUUUUAAAUUAAAAAAUCUUAAAGAGAGUAUUAUUUUAAAAAUGAUGAUAUGAGGGCAAUCAUAGAAAAUAUUGAAGAAACAAAAAGUGUUUACACCCAACACCCAUAUCCAUGUAAAACAAACAAGUACAUAUGUGAGAUUUACAAGAUAGUACAUCCGACUAUAGUCCGUUGUAUUCGGUUAUCCAACCUUAAUCCGACUUGGAUUUCUAAUCAGUCAAAUCAAUCUCCAAAACAAACAUGUCCCUGUUGAAUUCGCCACACUACCAUACUUAGAGGAUUUUGGUUCUGCCCAAGUCAGGACUAGCUGGAUAUGGCCAAAAUAUAGAAUUUGCCAAACUCU